rnacentral:rRNA from 1 species
GGUCUUUUGUUUAUAUAAAAGAUUUGGCCUGCCCAAUGAUUAUUUUAAUGGCUGCAGUAUUUUGACUGUACAAAGGUAGCAUAAUCAUUUGUCUUUUAAUUGAAGUCUGGUAUGAAUGGUUGGAUGAAAAAUUUACUUUCUUUAUUUUAAAAAUAAAAAUUGAUUUCUAAAUCAAAAAGUUUAGAUUUUUUUAUAGGACGAGAAGACCCUAUAGAACUUUACUUUUAUAAUUGUAAUUUUUUGUUUGGAAAUAAUUAUUUAAUAUACUUAUAGAAGUUUUAUUGGGGUGAUAAAAAAAAACUUUUAACUUUUUUUAUUUUUUUCAUUUGUUUAUGAUUUUUUGAUCCUUUAUUAUGGUUAAAAAGAUUAAGUUACCUUAGGGAUAACAGCGUUAUUGUUUUAGAGAGUUCAUAUUAAUAAAAUAGUUUGCGACCUCGAUGUUGGAUUAAAAUUAGUACCAGGGGUAUCAUUUUGGUUACUAGGUCUGUUCGACCUUUAAAUUUUUACA